CAAAGAAGGAAGAGACCAAGAUGGCAUGGGGGUGGUGUUGUUCAAAAGCAGCAGCAGCAGGAGCUGGAAGAAAAGGAAAGAUGAAAAGAUGGAAAAGGAAGCUGAGACCCUACAUUGCUCACAAGAAUUAAGUUAAUUACUGCCUGGCUUUUAUAGAUAACGUUUGCCAAAGCCUGCAAUAGAGUAAAAGCCGUACCCUGGGACUAAGAAGAAAAAUGAGGCAGAACCACCCUAACAGGAGCAAGACUGGAAGCCCCUGGAGACUGCAAGCCUUUGGAGACCGGAAGCCCCAAGAGACCAGUGCCAUCCUUUCUGACAUCCCACCCAGUCCUCAGGACUAUGCUCCCGAACUACUCAGACACUGCUGUCCUGUAGGGGGAGCCCAGGAUGAAUGCAGUUGAAAUUACUGGGUUUGCAGCUUCUUACUGAUUCUGCAACAAAGGAAAAGAUCUUUCAUCGAAUGUGUAAGGUGAAAAAAAAAAAAGACUUGAGUUUCUCUUGGUGGAAAACAAAGGGAAGUUUGCAUAAUUAUGACUCUGUCUUUUCAGCAUGUAAAGUGCUGUUUUUCUGCAGAAUAGGGCUUUUAAUAUUUGAUGAGUCUUUGAGAACACUGCACGAUAUCAACACUGAAUGGUGGGGCUCAGUUCAAAGGCUUGUACAAACAUUUCUAAAGAAGAGCCAUAUUAAAGAGUCCAGUUUCCCUGAUUUGUGCUUUAAGUUUAUUGACACAUAAAUCUUCAGAAGCGUUCUUCUCGACCUCGCGUUCCUGCAGACUCUAAUGCUGGCCUUUUUAUGGACCAGAAAUCUGGCCACUUUGUAUUCCUCCAACAGCUACCACAGCUAAGCCACCUUCGUUAGGCAAUAAAAUUGAAAACUGCCUCCCGAUUGAGCAGUUGAUUUGAAUGAAAUCUGUUGUUUGUCU